GGAGAUUUUAUAGCAUUAUCAGAUCCUUGUGAUGAAAUUACAGCUAGACUUAUUUUUAGAGAUGUGUCUGAUGGAAUUAUUGCGCCAGGUUAUUCACAGAGUGCAUUAAGAAUCUUAAAAAAGAAAAAAAAUGGUGCUUAUUGCAUUCU